rnacentral:lncRNA from 1 species
ACAGAUCUUCAAUGUGGGGUAGAGAUAAUUAACAUUAGAACAUCAGAACAACAGAAUAACAAAGAUUGAAAAAACUAAGGGACAGUUUUGGCACAUGUACCUGAAUCAGAAGAUGGCUCAGCCUGGCUUCUACAAGUGAAAGACUUGUGGGGUAGUGAAAGGUGAGGAUGUGGGGAAGAGGUGUUGAGUUUGAGAGUUCUGGGGAGAGAUGAGUUUGUUGAAGUAAAUGGUAAGAGGGUUGUGGUGGAUGAGGUGGUGAGUGAUGAUCUUGUGGUGGUAACAGGUUUCACAGAGAAAGAGGAGAUGGUUCUCAAAGCAAAGGUUGGGGAUGAUGCCAUUAUUGGGGAUGAUGGUGCUACUACUGUCUGUUUAGAAUGUGGUGAGAGAAAGUGAAUAACGAUGAGGUGAGUUGUUUUUGAGUGCUAUGAAGAAAAGUGAAGGUGGCAGGGUGUUAAAGACUUGGAAAUGGUGUGUAUAUAUAGAGAAAGGAGAUACUAAAAGUGGAAAGAAA